GUGCAGCAGGCGCGAAACUUCACAAUGUGCGAAGCACGAUGAGGGAAUCCCAAGUGCUUGCACGUAAGUGUAAGCUGUUCUCUGUCUAAACGCAGAGAGAGUAAGGGCUGGGUAAGACGGGUGCCAGCCGCCGCGGUAAUACCUGCAGCUCGAGUGGUGACCGUUAUUAUUGGGCCUAAAACGUCCGUAGCCGGUUUAAUAAAUGCCUGGGUAAAUCGGACCGCUUAACGGUUCGAAUUCCGGGUAGACUGUUAAACUUGAGACCGGGAGAAGUUAGAGGUACUCCUGGGGUAGAGGUGAAAUUCUGUAAUCCCAGGGGGACCACCAGUGGCGAAGGCGUCUAACUAGAACGGGUCUGACGGUGAGGGACGAAGCCCUGGGGCGCAAACGGGGAUUAGAUACCCCCGUAGU
rnacentral:rRNA from 1 species